UCUGUGAUGCCCUUAGAUGUCCUGGGCCGCACGCGCGCUACACUGACACACGCAGCGAGUUUUCCUUGUCCGAAAGGUCUGGGUAAUCUUGGAAAUGUGUGUCGUGAUAGGGAUAGAUUAUUGCAAUUAUUAAUCUUGAACGAGGAAUUCCUAGUAAAUGCGGGUCAUCAGCUCGCGUUGAUUACGUCCCUGCCCUUUGUACACACCGCCCGUCGCACCUACCGAUUGGAUGAUUCGGUGAAACUUUCGGACUGUGAUCAAGACGCUCUCGGGCGACUCGGUUAUGGGAAGUUAUUUAAACCUCAUCAUCUAGAGGAAGGUG
rnacentral:rRNA from 1 species